rnacentral:lncRNA from 1 species
CUGCUGCUCCACCUGUUCUGGGUCAAACGUUGUCUGCAAUAACGGAUUUUGUGUGUGUGACAUCAUGUACGUCAGACUUGGCAGCAGUUGUGUCCAGGGUUGCGGUUCUGCUGGAUAUGGAUCAGGCUUCGCUCUCUUUCACGACAAAUUCCUCAAUGGUUUCAACAACAGGGCUAUCCAGUCCAUUCAAACAGCAGAGGCUUGCAUGAGUCUGUGCCUGUCAGAAACAGGCUUUACUUGUGUAACUGCUGACUAUCAGCAUCAAACGAAAACAUGUUACCUCAGCAACCUGGCUUGGUAUAAUGCACCUUCCGGCUACGCUCUCAGUAGCAGCACCCAUCACUUGAUUAUCCGUAAUUGUGCUUAAAAAGCAUCAAAUGAAAGGUCACGAGUAUCUUGUGCGUAAAACCGUGCGACCAUGGAAUGUUUCUUAUGAUGUUAGGCUGAGAUUUAAGGUAGGUCAGAUAAAAAUCAUUGCAGGGUAUAGAACAGAGAGUGACUUUAGUCAAACGACGAUUUCAAAAGUAUUUCAACGGCAUUUUUUUUUUGGGGGGGGGGGGGGGAGAAAAGUGGAUAACGCAGGCAGCGGCUAUCAUAGUUCAUGGUUAGCGGUACGCAUAUCGGCUAUCAUAGUUCAUGGUUAGAUGUUGUGUUUCCACCGGAGAAUAUGCCUGUUUGUGGCCAUCAUUUCACUCUUCUAGCUUCACCGCAGAUUACUUUCUUUGUGUCAUAUUUUCUGAAUUAUCUCACAACAGAUUCUCUCACUUGCAUUCACCAACAACCACCGAGUUUCAGAACACAAUUUACAAUUCUUGAACACAAAUUGCAAUUCUUGAACACAAUUUACAAUUCUUGAACACAAUUUGCAAUUCUUGAGAAGUGUUAAAGCCACCAUAACAGCUUUAAUCAGAACGUUGGAACACAAUACUCCCUGCGUGUGUUACUGUGGAGUGAAACGUAUUAUUAGCCACAACUGUUAAGACCUUGUUCAAAUAUGUCUCUCUUGUUUGGCUUCUAUUUAAUCAGUGAUAUCACUCUCCCAUACUUUAUAACCGUCGAUGAUUUCCUAUGAGUUAACUGGUUAUCAUAAAGGAUUUAUCAUCAAUAUUAAAGCUCCGCGUUAUGAUAAUAGUGACAAGACCCUUUCCAUAUCCAUGGGAGUCGACUGUACGAUUCCGCCUGUAUUUUGAGCUUGUGAAUCGCGAUCAGACAGUUAAUUUGAUACCCUGGACACCCUUUCAUUGGCUGAUAUUGUGUUAAUAUUUUCGUUCCAAAAAUGACUUCAUGAAACUUUUAUUUUGUUUUAGGUCUAAGUAUUGCCGCCAGAUAUCGUCAGAUUCCUUCUGAUGAUAUGAGUAAUUUUAGCUUAUUAUCUGAAUGAAGCCCAUGAUUGUUAUAUAUCUAUUGGUAUUGUUGUUCUGCAUAAAAUAUGUUACGUUUGUACUGUAAACAAUUCAAAAGUAUAUUGUUGUAUGCACUGAGCUAGUGAAUGUGUGUGUGUCUGUGUGAGAUAAAGUUUAAUGCUGUUCAGAGCAUGUGAUUAUUACCACAUUCCUCAACGUGAAGCAUGUUGUAAAUGUCUGCCUCUAUAAACUGUAAAUUAUCUGAAUCCGGAAGCAGAUGACACAAAUUCCCUGCUCGUGGAUUUCCCUCUGUAUUGUACAAUGUCAUUCCUAUUCACUUAAUGCUAUCUGCUAGAAAAUACAAUCAAACUGUAAGCUCAAAAUAUGAAUAAAUGUUAUUACAGGACAA